ACCUGGCUGGCUCAGUCGGUAAAGUAUGUGACUCUUGAUCUCAAGGUUGUGGGUUCGAGCCCCAGGCUGGGUG
rnacentral:tRNA from 1 species